rnacentral:rRNA from 1 species
AACGCGAAGAACCUUACCUACUUUUGAAUCCACGGGAUCUGACAGAAAUGUUGGAGUGCCUUCGGGAACCGUGAGACAGGUGCUGCAUGGCUGUCGUCAGCUCGUGUCGUGAGAUGUUGGGUUAAGUCCCGUAACGAGCGCAACCCUUAUCCUUAGUUACCAUCGAGUAAAGUCGGGGACUUUAAGGAGACUGCUGGUGAUAAACCGGAGGAAGGUGGGGAUGACGUCAAGUCCUCAUGGCCCUUAUAAGUAGGGCUACACACGUGCUACAAUGGCCGGUACAGAGGGAGGCAAACCUGCGAAGGGGAGCGGAUCUCAGAAAGCCGGUCGUAGUCCGGAUUGGAGUCUGCAACUCGACUCCAUGAAGUUGGAAUCGCUAGUAAUCGCAGAUCAGCACGCUGCGGUGAAUACGUUCCCGGGCCUUGUACACACCGUAGAGAC